rnacentral:rRNA from 1 species
AUUGAACGCUGGCGGCAUGCCUUACACAUGCAAGUCGAACGGUAACAGGUCUUCGGAUGCUGACGAGUGGCGAACGGGUGAGUAAUACAUCGGAACGUGCCUAGUAGUGGGGGAUAACUACUCGAAAGAGUGGCUAAUACCGCAUGAGAUCUACGGAUGAAAGCAGGGGAUCGCAAGACCUUGUGCUACUAGAGCGGCCGAUGGCAGAUUAGGGAGUUGGUGGGAUAAAAGAUUACCAAGCCGACGAUCUGUAGCUGGUCUGAGGGGACGAUCAGCCACACUGGGGCUGAGACACGGCCCAGACUCCUAGGGGAGGCAGCAGUGGGGAAUUUUGGACAAUGGGCGAAAGCCUGAUCCAGCAAUGCCGCGUGCAGGAUGAAGGCCUUCGGGUUGUAAACUGCUUUUGUACGGAACGAAAAGCCCCGGGUUAAUACCCUGGGGUCAUGACGGUACCGUAAGAAUAAGCACCGGCUAACUACGUGCCAGCAGCCGCCGUAA